GAUGAAGAACGCAGCGAAAUGCGAUAAGUAAUGUGAAUUGCAGAAUUCAGUGAAUCAUCGAAUCUUUGAACGCACAUUGCGCCCGCCAGUAUUCUGGCGGGCAUGCCUGUCCGAGCGUCAUUUCAACCCUCGAACCCCUCCGGGGGGUCGGCGUUGGGGAUCGGCCCUUUACGGGGCCGGCCCCGAAAUACAGUGGCGGUCUCGCCGCAGCCUCUCCUGCGCAGUAGUUUGCACACUCGCAUCGGGAGCGCGGCGCGUCCACAGCCGUUAAACACCCCAAACUUCUGAAAUGUUGACCUCGGAUCAGGUAGGAAUACCCGCUGAACUUAAGCAUAUCAAUAAGCGGAGA
rnacentral:misc_RNA from 1 species